rnacentral:rRNA from 1 species
UACGAAGGGGGCGAGCGUUGUUCGGAAUUACUGGGCGUAAAGGGUGCGUAGGCGGCCGUUCAAGUCAGAUGUGAAAGUCCUGGGCUUAACCUGGGGACUGCAUUUGAUACUGAUUGGCUUGAAUUCGGGAGAGGAUAGCGGAAUUCCCAGUGUAGAGGUGAAAUUCGUAGAUAUUGGGAAGAACACCGGUGGCGAAGGCGGCUAUCUGGACCGACAUUGACGCUGAUGCGCGAAAGCGUGGGGAGCAAACAGG